UGUGUCUAGUGUCAUGGUAGGCUCUGGGA
rnacentral:piRNA from 2 species